rnacentral:rRNA from 1 species
UCGGGAAUAUUGCGCAAUGGAGGAAACUCUGACGCAGUGACGCCGCGUGCAGGAAGAAGGUUUUCGGAUUGUAAACUGCUUUAGACAGGGAAGAAUAAAGACAGUACCUGUAGAAUAAGCUCCGGCUAACUACGUGCCAGCAGCCGCGGUAAUACGUAGGGAGCAAGCGUUAUCCGGAUUUAUUGGGUGUAAAGGGUGCGUAGACGGGAAAACAAGUUAGUUGUGAAAUCCCUCGGCUUAACUGAGGAACUGCAACUAAAACCUAUUUUUUCUUGAGUGUUGGAGAGGAAAGUGGAAUUCCUAGUGUAGCGGUGAAAUGCGUAGAUAUUAGGAGGAACACCGGUGGCGAAGGCGACUUUCUGGACAAUAACUGACGUUGAGGCACGAAAGUGUGGGGAGCAAACAGGAUUAGAUACCC